CUCUCGCUGCAAGGAGAUGAAGAGAAGGGAGCGAAGCAGAUCAGGCAGCGAAGCAGACUGACAAACCGUCCAUUCAGCGCGGGAACAAAGGGAGGAGGACGCGUGCACAGCAGGAGGCGAGGCGCUCUACAGAACCCGACAGGAUGUCAGGAUUUACUCAAGGUGCAGGAACAUCACACCUGCGUGUCACACUUUCUGCCUCUCCAUCCCUCGCUGUGCUUUCGUUCUAUAUUUAUCUGAGAGGCGGCAGAACCAAACUGACGACUAGCGAGGCCUGUGUUCUCUCUCUGAGGGGAAGAAUGAGGCGGCAGACACUCACUGGUUGAGGAAGGCGAACAGGUUUUCCAUCCCUGCAGCAGGAAACAGAGAGACGUUUCCAGGCUUCAUUUGACGGGACAAACUUCAGAGACAAACGGACAUCAGACGGUUAAACUCCCUCAAUUUUCCUCCAGUUUUGCUCAAAAACAGAGUUUGAGUGUUCAGUGAGAAUGAUGUCAGUGCAUAUAUUUUGGUGACCUCUCACCUCUCUCGAAGCAGUUCUUGAUGUCGUUGACCUCGACCUGCGAGCCUGAAACCCGGAAGAUGCCCUGAUGCUGAAGACCUGAGAAAAACAUCUGGGUUUGACUGGAAGCUGCAGUCAGUUUGACAUUGAAUGUAAAUGAGACUCGGAGUCUUCGCUUCGCUUCGCUGCCGUUUCCUCACAUUGAAGUAGAAAAGCUCCGUCUCCUGCUGGUUGGCUCGUCUCUUGGCCAGACUGGGUUUGUUCAGGUAGCCGUCCGACACGCUGG